rnacentral:rRNA from 1 species
AGUUCGGAUUCUGGCUCAGACUGGAACGCUGGCGUAGAUGUGCUUUUACACAUGCAAGUCGAACGGCAGCACGGGACUUCGGUCUGGUGGCGAGUGGCGUAAACGGGUGAGUAAUGUAUCGGAACGUGCCUAGUAGCGGGGGAUAACUACGCGAAAGCGUAGCACACGCACACGCUCCUUCGGGGGAAAGCGGGGGGACCUUCGGGCCUCUCGCACUAUUAGAGCGGCCGAUAUCGAUUAGCUAGUUGGUGGGGUAACGGCUCACCAAGGCGACGAUCCGUAGCUGGUUUGAGAGGACGACCAGCCACACUGGGACUGAGACACGGCCCAGACUCCUACGGGAGGCAGCAGUGGGGAAUUUUGACAAUGGGGGAAACCUGAUCCAGCCAUCCCGCGUGUGUGAUGAAGGCCUUCGGGUUGUAAAGAAUUUCUGGCAGGAAAGAAACGGCACGGGAUAAUACCCUGCGCAACUGACGGUAACUUUGCAGAAUAAGCACCGGCUAACUACGUGCCAGCAGCCGCGGUAAUACGCAGGGUGCAAGCGUUAAUCGGAAUUACUGGGCGUAGCGCGUGCGCAGGCGGUUCGGAAAGAAAGAUGUGAAAUCCCAGAGCUUAACUCUUUUGGAACUGCAUUUUUAACUACCAGAUGCCAGAGUGCCGGAGGGAGGGAAUUCCAUGUAGCAGUGAAUGCGUAGAUAUGCGGAGGAACACCGAUGGCGAAGGCAGCCUCCUGGGAUAACACUGACGCCUAUGCACGAAAGCGUGGGGAGCAAACAGGAUUAGAUACCCUCCUGGUGUCCACGCCCUAAACGAUGUCAACUAGCUGUUGGGGCUCUUCGGGCCUUGGUAGCGCAGCUAACGCGUGAAGUUGACCGCUCAGAGCAUUAAUGCAAGAUUAAAACUCAAAGGAAUUUGAUGGGGACCCGCACAAGCGGUGGAUGAUGUGGAUUAAUUCGAUGCAACGCGAAAAACCUUACCUACCCUUGACAUGUCUGGAAUCCCGAAGAGAUUUGGGAGUGCUCGCGCGAGAACUUAGAACCAGGUGCUGCAUGGCUGUCGUUACAACAGCUCGCGUCGUGAUGUUGGUUAAGUCCCGCAACGAGCGCAACCCUUGUCAUUAGUUGCUACGAAAGGGCACUCUAAUGAGACUGCCGGUGACAAACCGAGGAAGGUGGGGAUGACGUCAAGUCCUCGCGGCCCUUAUGGGUAGGGCUUCACACGUCAUACAAUGGCUCGGACAGAGGGUCGCCAACCUGCGAGGGGGGAGCUAAUCCUAGAAACCCGAUCGUAGUCCGGAUCGCAGUCUGCAACUGACUGCGCAAGCUGAAACUGCCAGUAAUCGCGGAUCAGCAUGUCGCGUGAAUACGUUCCUGGUCUUGUACACUGCCCGUCACACCAUGGGAGUGGGUUUUACCAGAAGUAGUUAGCCUAACCGUAAGGGAGGGCGAUUACCACGGUAGGAUUCAUGACUGGGGUGAAGUCGUAACAAGGUAG